rnacentral:rRNA from 1 species
UACGUAGGGUGCAAGCGUUGUCCGGAAUUAUUGGGCGUAAAGAGCUCGUAGGCGGCUUGUCGCGUCGGCUGUGAAAACCCGCGGCUCAACUGUGGGCGGGCAGCUGAUACGGGCAGGCUGGAGUUCGGUAGGGGAGACUGGAAUUCCUGGUGUAGCGGUGAAAUGCGCAGAUAUCAGGAGGAACACCGGUGGCGAAGGCGGGUCUCUGGGACGGUACUGACGCUGAGACGCGAAAGCGUGGGGAGCGAACAGG